ACCGGCUCUACGGGUGGUACAAGCGGAUCGGAUGGCUUCGAAAGGGAUUGUUCCGAUCCUUGGAGGAGGAGUCCCUCGGUAGCCACUAGGCUUGGUGGCCACCUGCUGCCCCAGCAGAGGUGGCAUGCGUGCACGCGCAGGAUGAGGUCUCUCCUACCUACCCUUUGGGCUGCUGGUUUAUUCGCGUGAUCGUCUCUUACGGCCUUAUGACAGCUGCUGGCUGUCGAAGCAACAAUAAUUUGUUCUGGUCUGCACUGCACUGGAGCAACGAUCAUUUGCUUUGGCCCACACUGGUGCGUAGCCCUCGCCAGGCCCCCGGUGUGCGUUCAGUUCCGGCAAUGAGUUGAUUUCCAGGGAAUGGCAGGCAGCUUUAGAAAAUAAGUACCAACACGAUCAAGCUGGUAUGGAGACAAUCCACAGGCCAUCUGCAAAGAGCGUAAAUCAACCAUAGCAUUCUGUUUGCCCAGCCAUAAAGAAUUCAGGAAGGUCCAUUUUUAGCAAUAUGGAGAAGCUACAGUGUUGCAACAUCCAGCUUGUCCAUGGAAAGAACAAAGCAAACAACUGGUGAAAAGACAGGAAAACCUUUUGCCCAAUAUAAUCGUUAAACUGCAAAGAGCAAGAAGCAAACCAUUAUAUAUGGGAGCAAAGGAUGCAAGAACACUGAAACAGAUCAGACAAGUUUUGACACAUUGUGAGAAGAUAUUCAGAGAUGUGCACCUGAUGAGAAGCUGUUUGUACACAAUCACAUGUACCAUUUGCUUUACAAUAAUAUUUUCCAACACAGAAAAAGCUUCGUUGCAAUAAUGACUAAAACAGAAAUGAAUAAUACACCUGCCAGCAGCAUUGUGCUGGAGACUGCAAGGACAUUUGUAGAGGAGCAAGUGGAGAAGUGCUGAGGGUAUUUUGAAUAUAGUACAAAUAGUAUUGAGAACUGCUAAAUAAAAUGUAUCAUUUCAUCUAUAUUUUAAA